rnacentral:rRNA from 1 species
AUGGGCGCGCCGGACACAUCAUGGGUGUUCGCGGACCUCGCCGUCGCGGACAGCUCCAGGUACAGCACCCGCUCGCGGCUGCUGCUCACGGGGCUCUCCUUCGCCAUCGGCAUCCUCACCAUCCUCCUCUACCUCACCGUCUCCUACGCCUGCCGCCGCCGCCGUUGUCACCGUCAGGGCGGCGCGGACGCGGGUGCGGAUGCGGAGGACCAGGAGGCCGGCAUGAGCGACGCCGCGAUCGUGUACGAGCAGGCCGACGCGCUGGCCGCGCCCAUGGACUGCGCGGUGUGCCUAGGGCAGGUGGAGGCCGGCGAGAAGCUGCGUCGGCUCCCCAAGUGCGCGCAUCUGUUCCACGCCGACUGCGUCCACGCCUGGCUGCAAGCGCACUCCACCUGCCCCAUGUGCCGCGCCGCUGCCACCGGCACCAUACCGGCCGCGACAGCGGCGCUGCCACCUGGCGUGGUUGCAGUUGCAGGCACGCCGCCUGCCUUGGAACGGAUGAAUUGA